rnacentral:rRNA from 1 species
CCCUUAGAUGUUCUGGGCAGCACGCGCGCUACAAUGGUCUUCGCAAACGGAUGCAUUCUCGAAGGAGAAUGCCAAUCUUGGAAUCUAUGCCUUGGUCGGGACAGUUGCUUGCAAUUUUUCGACUCGAACCAGGAAUUCCUUGUAAUCGUGAUUCAUCACAUCACGAUGAAUACGUCCCUGCCCUUUGUACACACCGCCCGUCGCUCCUACCGAUCGAAGAGUUAGGUGAAGUGUUUUGAUCGAUAAGAUUUGACUAUGGUCAACUCUCGUUGUGAAAUUCUGUGAAUCUGACUGUUUAGAGGAAGGAAAAGUCGUAACA